CUGGCAAGCUACAUUCUACUAGAACAAAGAACAUCAUGAUAAUUUUAGACAGAAUUCGAAGAACCAUAUAGUUGUUGCGAAACAUCAGGUGAUAACUGGUCAUUAGUUUGAUUGGGAACAUGUUUUGGUUUGACACCAUGAGCUUAAUGAGUUUAAAAGACUUUUAGCUGAAAUGUUCUUUAUUAAGAGAGAAGAACUAAUUCGAGAUGAGAUUGUUAAAAUCAUGAUUUAAUAAUUAACAUCGCUGACUUUUUCCUUUAUAAAUAUAAGGACUUAUAUUUUUGACCCUGGAUUGAUGUCUUUCCUGAUGAGGAGAGCAAUUGACUCUAGAAACGUCGGCAAUUAAAAUGGAAUAAAGGAUCUUCUCAACAUCAUGGUCUUUUACUCAGUCUCAAUUUGCAGAAAGGACAUUGUAAGCCUUCAGACGAUUUGAACGAGCUACCGGGACCUUUAACUAUAUCUAGCUGAGUUUCUGCGGAGAAUUUCUCAGAGCUUCUCAGAGCAUCCAAGACUCAGAAAAAAAUGGCUGUGGGCCUGUGUUAUUUAUGUUUUUUUUU